rnacentral:rRNA from 1 species
GACGAACGCUGGCGGCGUGCUUAACACAUGCAAGUCGAACGGAAAGGCCCUGCUUUUGUGGGGUGCUCGAGUGGCGAACGGGUGAGUAACACGUGAGUAACCUGCCCUGGACUUUGGGAUAACUUCAGGAAACUGGGGCUACUACCGGAUAGGAGCUCCUGCUGCAUGGUGGGGGUUGGAAAGUUUCGGCGGAUGGGGAUGGACUCGCGGCUUAUCAGCUUGUUGGUGGGGUAGUGGCUUACCAAGGCUUUGACGGGUAGCCGGCCUGAGAGGGUGACCGGCCACAUUGGGACUGAGAUACGGCCCAGACUCCUACGGGAGGCAGCAGUGGGGAAUAUUGCACAAUGGGCGGAAGCCUGAUGCAGCAACGCCGCGUGCGGGAUGACGGCCUUCGGGUUGUAAACCGCUUUCGCCUGUGACGAAGCGUGAGUGACGGUAAUGGGUAAAGAAGCACCGGCUAACUACGUG